rnacentral:rRNA from 1 species
GGUGAACGCUGGCGGUGUGCCUAAUACAUGCAAGUCGAACGGACGCACUGUAAGCUUUCUUCUCUGAUGUUAGCGGCUGACGGGUGAGUAACACGUGGAUAGCCAACCUCUAAUUCUUGGAGGACAUCGUAAAACCGGAUAUAAUACCACAUAAUACUUUGAACCGGAUGGUUCAGAAGUUAUUCACAGUCUUGCUGUCACUUAUAGAUGGAUUCGUGCUGCAUUAGCUAGUUGGUAAGGUAACGGCUUACCAAGGCAACGAUGCAUAGCCGACCUGAGAGGGUGAUCGGCCCCACUGGAACUGAGACACGGUCCAGACUCCUACGGGAGGCAGCAGUAGGGAAUCUUCCGCAAUGGGCGAAAGCCUGACGGAGCAAAGCCGCGUGGGUGAUGAAGGUCUUCGGAUCGUAAAACUCUGUUAUUAGGGAAGAAAAUAAGUGUCAGUAAAUGUGCACAUCCUGACGGUACCUAAUGAGAAAGCCACGGCUAACUACGUG